rnacentral:piRNA from 1 species
UUCCAAUUUUCUCUCAGAAGCCUCAUCCC